CUUUAGAAAAAUAAAAUAAAGUUGGAACAAUAUAGGGCAGAUUAGCCUGGCCCCCGCAGAAGGAUGGCACGCAAAUUCAGACACAAAGCCUCAGUGCUC
rnacentral:snRNA from 1 species